GCAAAUCUGUUUCUCCUCAAAGGAACCUUAAACUGAGCUCAUCCAGCCUUUCUGAGCAGCACAGCAGAGCUUCUGUCCAGCACUGGGUCUGAUAAGCUCCCCACUUUGUGCCUGACACACCUGCAGGGAGAGGCAGAGAUUCAACUGAGUCUAUCAGAUUUUCCUCAACAACACAGCAGAGUCUCUACAAACAGCAGAUCUUCCUCUUUGCUGCCAUCAUCCUCUACUCCUUGCAGCGCAGGCUUGCCGCUGCUAAAACUAAACAGAGCUCCCUGAAAGGCACAG